UACGUAGGGCGCAAGCGGUUAUCCGGAAUUAUUGGGCGUAAAGAGCUCGUAGGCGGUUUGUCGCGUCUGCCGUGAAAGUCCGGGGCUCAACUCCGGAUCUGCGGUGGGUACGGGCAGACUAGAGUGAUGUAGGGGAGACUGGAAUUCCUGGUGGUAAGCGGUGAAAUGCGCAGAUAUCAGGAGGAACACCGAUGGCGAAGGCAGGUCUCUGGGCAUUAACUGACGCUGGGGGAGCGAAAGCAUGGGGGAGCGAACAGG
rnacentral:rRNA from 1 species